CAUCCGCUCCGCGAGGCGGGAAGAGGCCCCACUGCCCUCGGGCCGGAGCCGCCUGGUGGGGAGGGGGUGUCACGCUUCAGAAAAGGGCGAGGACUGGCCCCGACCUUCAGCGGAGGAAGGAAACAAUGAAGCCACGUAACAAAAGUUCAAGGCCAAACGUAGCGCCCGCCCAGCGCUCGACCGCGGCUUCCUCUCCGCCGGCUCCGGGGAGUCACCUGACCUCGCUUUCGCAGUCGCGGACGCCGAAAGGGUCCUGCAGUCCUCCUCGCAGCCAAUCGGCGGCGUCCCUGCCCCCCGCAGCCAAUCAGUGGCGUCCCUGCCCUCGCAGCCAAUCAAUGGCGGCCCGGCCUUCCUAGCCAAUCUGGUUCUCCGCCCGCCGGCCUCUCGCGCGUGAGGAGGGAAAGCCCGGCUUCCGAAGACCCCUGGAAAAAGACUCGUUGAGCGUGCAAAAAACGACUUUGUUUCCACUGGGCCAGGUAUAUUCUGAAGCCUGCAGAGCGUCCAUCAGGGGCUGCCCAGGGCCGGGAAGAGCGCGCCUUCUCUUUGUUACAGAACUAGCCACCCGCAACCCCGCGGACCCCUAGGAGACUGCCCUUGCAGCUCACAGCCGACCAGCUGUUGGAACGUGUCUCAUAUGGGAAGAAAUGCUUGCAGUUUCAAAGGUCCAGCCCAUGGGCUCAGACGCUGCCGCACAGCUCAGAACUCUGAAACUCUUGAUUCUACCCUGCUGUGUGCCUGGGAUUUGACCUGCCUCUCAUAUGGAGAGAAGCUACCUGAGUGCAGGAAAUAGCCUUGACUGUAGCCUCAGUCUCUAGCUGGAGCCCAGGUCCAGCUCCCAGGAUGCCAGUGUUCCCUAAGAACUCCGUUUCAGAACCACUGAACUAGAAUUUGGAAUUUAAAAGACCUCCACCUGAAAACCCAGGAGCCUCUGCAGAGCAAAGAACAUCGAUCACUAGUCAUUGGUCAUCUCAGCCCAGAGAGGGGUGGCACAGCCUUCAAGGUCCAUCAUAAUCUGGUUCCAACCUUCCUUUAUAAUCACAUAUCUUGGAGUUCCUAUCAUGGCUCAGUGGAAACAAAUCUGACUAGUAUCCAUGAGGACACAGGUUCAAUCCCUGGCCUGGCUCUGUGGGUU